rnacentral:lncRNA from 1 species
ACAAAUGUAGACAUUGCUAUAAACAACAUACACAAAUCUCUUACGAAACGUUAUCAUAUUCAAUGCUGCUUUAUUUAUAAUCUAUCCGUAAGGGCAAAGUUACUUUCAAAUUUCAAUCAAGUUCUCCAAAUUAAGUACUCUCUCUAACCCUUUAUUCGUAUUUAAUUAGCUUUUGAUUAUUUCCCGGGCUAUAUCGAGAGUUUUCCCUAUUUUCUCUUAGUACGUCCUCAUUUUUUCUUACAACAAUUUAAAAAGGGAAAAAAACAAAUAACAUAAAAUUAAAAUUCCUCUAUUUGUAUCAUAUAUUUGCUUAGUAAACUUAAUAAUAUACUAAGCAAGCAAUACGUUCGAACUCUUCUUGUUUUAUUAGGCUAAGCAUUUAAUUUGCACUACUACGUACGUAUUAGUUAUUUCUGCUUCAUCUUCUUAUUUUCAGAAGACUUGUUGAGGAAAAAAUGCCGAGCAAGAGUUACAGAGUGUCUCCAGUGCCAAUGACUUUGUUUGCACACUUGUUGUUCAUAGCUAUCACAACACUG